rnacentral:rRNA from 1 species
UACGUAGGGCGCAAGCGUUGUCCGGAAUUAUUGGGCGUAAAGAGCUCGUAGGCGGUCUGUCGCGUCUGCCGUGAAAACCCGAGGCUUAACCUCGUGGCUUGCGGUGGAUACGGGCAGACUAGAGGUAGGUAGGGGAGAAUGGAAUUCCCGGUGUAGCGGUGAAAUGCGCAGAUAUCAGGAGGAACACCGAUGGCGAAGGCAGAUCUCUGGGCCGUAACUGACGCUGAGGAGCGAAAGCGUGGGGAGCGAACAGG